rnacentral:tRNA from 1 species
CAGGGAGACAAACAACGAUUUUGAUGCCUGAGUGCUUUUAUUCUUAGGCCGAAAUCCUGUCACCUUAGGUCGAUCGGUACCUCAGCUUUGAAGUCAAGAAUUUGCAGCGAUGCAAGUUGCUUGAUGGAGAUUCUUAGUUCCUAAACUUUGUCUAGGUCACACCCCAAAAGGGAUGAGACUCCUGGGCCAUUAGCUCAGGUGGUUAGAGCGCACCCCUGAUAAGGGUGAGGUCCCUGGUUCAAGUCCAGGAUGGCCCAUUCGGUGUUGGGGGUUUAGCUCAGUUGGUAGAGCGCCUGCUUUGCAAGCAGGAUGUCAGGAGUUCGAGUCUCCUAACCUCCACUGACCGAACUUUGUCCCCAGCUUCAUUUGAUGGAGUUGAGCUCGAUUGGAGUGUGAUUUAGAUGUGUCCGCUGGAAGACCCCAGCUUCCUGUCAUUCUAAGGAUUGAUUAAAUCAAUUUUUAGUUGAUAAGAUGCUGGGCUCGAACUGAGCAAUCAGUUUGGAGUUCUAGCAGAACCUUGACAACUGCAUAGGUGAGUCUGGAAAGAAUAAAGCAUCUCAUGGAUGCAUCAUUCUUUUUUGGAUGAUGUUUGAUUCUUGAGCAAGAGCCGAGACUCCACCACGUUCUUCUGAUUGUGUCGAGCAAUUGGGAGUUUGAUCUUUGAUUCAGCAAUGAAUCAGAGAGAAUCCGUUUCAACGACGGCAAGCGUGAUGGGGAUUAAUU